rnacentral:rRNA from 1 species
UGGGGAAUAUUGGACAAUGGGGGCAACCCUGAUCCAGCCAUGCCGCGUGUGUGAAGAAGGCCUUCGGGUUGUAAAGCACUUCCGGACGGAACGAAAUCGCGCGAGUUAAUAGUUCGCGUGGCUGACGGUACCGUACGAAGAAGCACCGGCUAACUACGUGCCAGCAGCCGCGGUAAUACGUAGGGUGCGAGCGUUAAUCGGAAUUACUGGGCGUAAAGUGUGCGCAGGCGGCGUCGCAAGUCGAGUGUGAAAGCCCCGAGCUUAACUUGGGAAUUGCGCUCGAAACUACGGCGCUGGAGUAUGGCAGAGGAAGGUGGAAUUCCACGUGUAGCGGUGAAAUGCGUAGAGAUGUGGAGGAACACCGAUGGCGAAGGCAGCCUUCUGGGCCAAUACUGACGCUCAUGCACGAAGGCGUGGGGAGCAAA